rnacentral:lncRNA from 1 species
GAGCAGAAUGUUAUAUAGCAAUGAGAAUGAGCAGUCUACAAGUCCACACAACAGUAUCGAUGACUCUCACACACAUAAAGCUGGGCAAAAGCAGCUGCCCACAAAAAAAAUAUGUGUUCAUGAUUCCAACUGUACAAAGAAACAAACACAGGCAGAAUUAAUAAAUCUAUGGUGGCAAAAGAAAUAGGGGUUACCCCAGGUUUGGGGGAGUGACUAGAAGGGCGCAUGGGAGGCUUCUGGGUGCUAGUAACUUUACGUUUUUGUUGGUUUUUUUUUUAAUCUGGGAGCUGGGGACUUUUCAAAAACUCAACACACUCAGUCCAAGUGGUUCGGAUAAGCUGACUUCACCCCUAGCUCCCUGGAUAGCCUGAGACUCAGACACAGCCAAUCAGGGGCCUGAGUUUGCCCAGGCCAUGGGGAUUGGCUUGGAGGUGGGAAUGAGACUUAGGCGCAGCCUAUCACUACACGUUAUCUCCCUGACUAUAGGAUUCCAGGAUGGCCAUAUGACUAUCAAGUCAGUCCAGUGGGUUUUGACAUCUAGGCUUCUCUGGGACUUCUUCUUGGGGUAGCAGAAACGACAGACUGUCUACCUAGAGCUGCUAGCAACUGUUUGCUGUCUUUAGGGGCAGAACUUGAGAAGAGACCAACACAGAGGAAAGUGGGGCUAAAGCAGACAGUACAAGCCUGGGUCCUGAGGACGAACUUUGAUUCCCUGGAUCCAGCCAUGCCUGAAGCUACAGUCUAUCCCUGGACUCUUCAGUCUCAUCAGCCUUUUUUCUUUUUUAACUUACAGCAGUUUGAGCUGAGUUUUUGGCCGCUUACAGCUAAAAACAUCUAUUUUCAUUACUGCAGCUGCACUUCCAUUUUUAGAAGCUUCUAGUGUUUAGAAAGUUCUUUCCCUGACCGGGCACGGUGGGGAGGGUGUGGCAUGAGCAAGUUGAAGACUUCAACUGGGCUGGGUC